GUCGAGACUAGUCGAGUAAAAUGUGUGCUCGAUUUUACUGGUCGAGCACAAAAACUGGUCAAUUCAGACUCUGAGGAGUUUGUAGUGAUUGUACCUGUAGAAAACGUAUUUGAAAUGGGAUACAAAAAUGAUGUCCACUGAGCCUGGAAAUUUUGAUACGAUCCUUUAAAUAAACAUAUUCUAAAAGAUCACCAAUUCAACACUGUAAUAAGGUCCUUAAAUGUUAUUUUAUUGGUAUUAAUAUUGAUUUUAUUAUCAUUAAGUU
rnacentral:lncRNA from 1 species